AGCCUAAGCUGCCGCCUCAUCUUACCCCUGACCCGAGGGCGGCGGAGAGAGCUUGCUCCGUAGCGGUUUCCUUCAGAGCAGGUGGUGACUGCUCCUUGGCGAGCAAGGAGGAGGCCCAGGCCGGGCAGCCCGCUCGGGCGCGCACCACCCGAAGCUUUUCCUACAGAUGUUAUCCUGGAAAGUAAAUUCAAGUAAAAACUCAUGAAGUUGAAAGCGUGGUUUUCUAGGAAAAGAAAUUUUAAGAUAAAAGGACCAGAUUCCUCAGAAAUCUGUCUAGAACCUGUCCUGGUAAAUAAUGUGAGACUGAGAUCAAAGCAGCAGUGAUGAAAGGAAGCAGAUUCCACAAUUCUGUCUCUGGACCCCGGCACGCCAUACGUCCUCUGGAAGCGGCAGUAGCGGAUAUUGCAAGUCUUUCCAACUCGGAAUAAGCAGCAAGUUUUUGCAGACAGAUCUGGGGAGUUCAAGGUUUCUGCCACUACUGCCACCACAUAUGCAAAUAGUAGACCAAGGAAACCUCUAACUGGAUAAUUCCAAGGGCUCAUUUUUACUGAAAUGCUGCAGAAAAAGUGAUGGGAGGGGGGAGACGGAUGUUGCAGAAGCAAGAAGAGACUCAGAAAGUAUAACCUGCCCAGCUGCCCUUCAUCCAGAGUUCUAAGAGCCAAGUUAGCUGUCCUACUUAAGCUACCCUUAAUUUGAUUUGACUUUUCACGACCAAUCCCUACCAUGUCCUUCCAAAUAAGACUCACAGGGAAUCAGACCAGCAAGCAAUGGCCUCACAUGGCUACAAAAUAAAUCGUUUUUGAUUUUGCCCCUCUUCCUAAUUUUUUUAUGGAAAUUGAAGGAGUAAAAUACACAGAUUUAGAGGAUUCUGUAAAGCUGAGCACCUCAGCUUUUAAGUUCUGUGGGCUUUGGUGGAAAAGAUUGCAAACAUCAGAGCUCUGCAGCCCAGCAGAGGAUGCCUCCAGAAAAGUGUGACCACUUGGGGCUCUUCUGCAUACUGGUCUGUUUCAUUGUCAGUGGCUCCACCCUAGAACCUGGGUGCUGAGAGCCCCUCAGCCACCUACUUAACAAAGCUACAGCUGUGCUAGUUUACUAGGCAAGAUCCACCCACUUCACCACCCAGUAUGAUAACUGGAGGAAACAGCUGGAACUGAUGACUGCAGAGAAGGAAGUUCAUACAUUUCCAACUUGGUCAGCAUCUCUUUAGUUCUUUUACUUAUUAAUCCAGAGAAGAAAACAGCUAGUUCAUUCAAAAUUCAAAAAAAUCUGAGGUUUUAGGUAACAGUUCUCUCCCUGGAUCAUCAUUUUAUGAUAAAGAUCCACAUACCUACAUUAGAACAUAACAAAAGGAUGUUUGUGUAGGAUUUUCUCCUACACCAAAAAAUGAGCUCUUACGAGAAACUAUUUAAUCCGUUUUUUUAUCCCACAUCAGUUUUUACUGUCAAAGAUUUCAUAAGCUGAAUUUUCUAGCAAAAUUUCUUUCCAGAUAUUCCAUCUACAAUAUUCAACUACUUUUUAUUUUUAAUUGUGCAUUUUUAUUGUGAAAUAAACCUCAAAAUGCAUAAGGCAGUUAUUCCAUAUAAUGAAUAAUUAUAAAAGAAACCUCCGUGUGACCAACCAGAUCAAGAAAUGGAACACUGCCAGCACCCCAGAAGUCCCCCGGUGACCUUCCUGAACACAAUUCUUUCCCUCCCUUUUAGAGGUAACCAUUAUUCUAACUUUUGUGAUAACCAUUUCCUUGUUUUUUUCUCUAUUGUUUUAUCACAAGCAUGCAUCCCUAAAUCAUAUAUUGUUUGGUUUUGCCCUUUCUUUUGGAACAACAUAAUAUGUAACCUGUUGUGCUUACUACUUUUGCUCAACAUCAUUUUUAAUCCAUAUGUUGUUUGGGUUGUUCAUAUAACUGUAAUUUGUUCAUUUUAAUUGCUGCAUAUUACAGUGUUUCAUUGUAGCAAUAUGCCAUAAUUUAUUUAGCCAUUCUAUUGUUGAUGGAUAUCUGGGUUGUUUCCAGUCUGGGACUCUUACGAACGCUGUUUUAAAUAUUCUUUAUAUAUGUAUUCCAUCACAUCUAUAUGAGUUUCUGUAUGGUAUAUACCUGGGAGUGGUUAUGUGUACUAUAAAUUUGAAUGAAUCAUGCCAAGCUGCUUUCUGAAGUGUUAUACUCACACCAGCUGUGUAUGAGCCUCAUUGCUUCACACCCUCAGCCACAUUGGUAUAGUCAGUCCUUUCAGCUUUGCCAAUCUGGUGGGUGUGUAGUAGUAAAUCACUGUGGUUUUAACUUGCAUUUCCUUGAUUACUGAUGCUGUUGAGGACCUUCUCAUAUGUCAGCUAGCCAUUUGGGCUGCUUCUUUUGUGAAGUGGGUUAUCGUUUUCAUGCCUAACCUCUAAGAUGCCCGAUUCUCCAAUAUCCUUUUAUAGUCCACAUUUGAAUAAUAUAUUUCAGGUAAGGUAAUGCUACCAGAUGAGUUAUAUUUAAGACACGGUCUUUCCAAAAUAAGAACAAUUAUCCUGCCUAAUUAUCUCUUUAUCAAUUUGAUAAUAAGCUUCUUAAAAGUAGAACUAUGAGACUAUAUUUUUUACAUUCCAAAAUAAUGCUAUGCUUUCAAUUAUUAAAUUGUUGCUGGAAUCCCUCAUGGUGGUUUGGGGUUUGUGACUUGGUUUCCCUCAAAAAUGUAAAGUCGAUAUUUCUUCUCUUGGAAUCUGUGUAACUGAACUCUGUUAUUGCUUUGUAUUUUAUAGGCAACUAUGUAACAAACUAUUUCACCAGCACAAAUUUUUUUUUCAUUUCCAAGUUUCAUUCAUUUUGUAAAUAUCAUGGUGGCUUUUUCUUUCCCCCUAAAGUUCCUGCUAAAAUACAUGGUUGGUUGGUUUUUUAAUUUCACUCAUUAAUAUUAAAUAUAUACCAUUCCUGUCACUACCUGGCACAUUUUCUCAACAUAUUCUAUUUGAUUGUUUUUAUCAUUUUAUCAUUCUUAUCUCUCAGUUCUUUGUUUAAAGUCAGUGAUAUUUUAAGACUGGAGGAAGAUGAGACCCAGAGAAAUUAAAUGACUUACCCAGAGUCAGAAGAGCAAGUAAAAAGGAAACUUGGAGUGGGCCCCAAGUCUUCAAAUAGAGUACACUUAGCAUUAUAUCACACUGACCUCAGUCUCUGGAGCAGUAAGGUAAAUUCAUUCCCCUGGGCUAUUGAAUAUUGUUCACUUCAACAUGGCAAACCUCUUAUUCCACCACUGGAUAUGGUUACUUUAUUUUAAGCCUAACAGCUUUAGGAGCAGAUUAGGACUGAUAUAAAUAAAAAUAAAAGAAUAAAAUUUUUGAAGACUAAUAUAAAUAAUAGUGCUUAAAAGAGGUUACAUGGAACCUGGCUUUUAAAAAAGAAGGUUCCCCCCGCCCCCUUUCAUCCCUUAUAGCUAGUCUGUCACUAGGCCCCAUGGCCUCUUCAGACAAUUAUCAUACUUCUUCAAUAUCUGAAAAAAAGAGUUACACAAAAGAAAGCAGUGAUUGGUAGUGUCAAAUGAUGCAGAAAAGGCCUUUGGAUUUGAUCAGCUCCCUAAUAAUUCCAUAAUGCUGUUAAAAAUGCUAGAGAAUAUCAGAACUUAAUGACAUUUUCAUAUACAGGAACAAAUCAGUCUAGAAACUUAGCAACCGUGUCAUGAGAUUGUCCCUUUGUGGCCUUUAUCAUCAUCUAGGUUUGCAAAAGGAGUGAUUCUAAAACUGAAUGACAGAUGACUACUACUUUUAAUAGAAAAUAAAUUAGUAAGGUAACUUUGAAUUUCUUGUAAUAUUUGAUAAUUUAACUGUAUAAAGUUUCAGAAGAAGCCUUGAUUUGGUUUUAUCAUUAAUAGUCACUAAAUAUUUUUAUCUAAUAAAAUCUAGCAGUUAUUUUUAAAAUAAAAUACUGAGUGAAAACCACCUUAAAGAAAAGAACUUCAUAAAAACAUUAAGGUAGGUUUAGAUAUAACUUAGCUUUGAAAAGCAAAGUUUUCUAAAUGUUUUGGCUUGAAAUUCAAAGUUGAGUUAUUGAAUUAACAGUCAGUAGUUGCCAGAGGUACUAGAUACAUAAACAUUAUUUGUAUUUUUUUGUCUUCCAAAAAGCAGUGAUACGUAGAAAACAUAAGGAUUUUCACAGUUACUUCACCAUUCAGUGAAAAGAAAUUUACUUAUCACCCACUAUUUCUUAGCACUGAACUAAGUGCUGGACAUAUAAUGGUGAAAAGAAUGAUGUCCCUGGCUUCAUGGAGUUUACAGUCUAGUCCAGUAUGUCCCAGGCUUAAUACUUGACCCCAGCUACUACCAUCUACUAUUCGAUCUAUAUUCUGCAUAAUCAUCUGGUGAAUAAAUGGGUGGCUGCUUUGUUCUGUUGAUAAGCAAAUAAAUGAUCACAUGCUGGAAACCAUC